AAUGAACGUUGGCGGCGUGGAUUAGGCAUGCAAGUCGUACGGGAGUAGCAAUACUCUAGUGGCGAAAGGGAUAGUACAAUAUAGAUCAUCUGCCCCCGAGUCGUGGAUAUACGAGGGAAACUUCGGGUAAUACACGAUAAUCUCUCCGGAGCAAAGGUGUGAUUCCGCUUGGGGAUGAGUCUAUAGCCUAUUAGCUUGUUGGCGGGGUAAUGGCCCACCAAGGCUGUGAUGGGUACGAGGCGUGAGAGCGUGUCCUCGAUCACUGGGACUGAGACACUGCCCAGACACCUACGGGUGGCUGCAGUCGAGAAUCUUCGGCAAUGGACGAAAGUCUGACCGAGCGACGCCGCGUGAGCGAUGAAGGCCUUCGGGUUGUAAAGCUCUGUAAGUUGGGAGGAAGUGCAUGGGGGCAAUCCCCUGUGCUUGACCUAUCUUCAAAGUAAGGACGGGCUAAGUUCGUGCCAGCCGCCGCCGUAACAC
rnacentral:rRNA from 1 species